rnacentral:rRNA from 1 species
UGCAAGUCGAGCGAGCAGAACCAGCAGAUUUACUUCGGUAAUGACGCUGGGGACGCGAGCGGCGGAUGGGUGAGUAACACGUGGGGAACCUGCCCCAUAGUCUAGGAUACCACUUGGAAACAGGUGCUAAUACCGGAUAAUAAAGCAGAUCGCAUGAUCAGCUUAUAAAAGGCGGCGUAAGCUGUCGCUAUGGGAUGGCCCCGCGGUGCAUUAGCUAGUUGGUAAGGUAACGGCUUACCAAGGCAAUGAUGCAUAGCCGAGUUGAGAGACUGAACGGCCACAUUGGGACUGAGACACGGCCCAAACUCCUACGGGAGGCAGCAGUAGGGAAUCUUCCACAAUGGACGCAAGUCUGAUGGAGCAACGCCGCGUGAGUGAAGAAGGUUUUCGGAUCGUAAAGCUCUGUUGUUGGUGAAGAAGGAUAGAGGUAGUAACUGGCCUUUAUUUGACGGUAAUCAACCAGAAAGUCACGGCUAACUACGUGCCAGCAGCCGCGGUAAUACGUAGGUGGCAAGCGUUGUCCGGAUUUAUUGGGCGUAAAGCGAGCGCAGGCGGAAGAAUAAGUCUGAUGUGAAAGCCCUCGGCUUAACCGAGGAAUUGCAUCGGAAACUGUUUUUCUUGAGUGCAGAAGAGGAGAGUGGAACUCCAUGUGUAGCGGUGGAAUGCGUAGAUAUAUGGAAGAACACCAGUGGCGAAGGCGGCUCUCUGGUCUGCAACUGACGCUGAGGCUCGAAAGCAUGGGUAGCGAACAGGAUUAGAUACCCUGGUAGUCCAUGCCGUAAACGAUGAGUGCUAAGUGUUGGGAGGUUUCCGCCUCUCAGUGCUGCAGCUAACGCAUUAAGCACUCCGCCUGGGGAGUACGACCGCAAGGUUGAAACUCAAAGGAAUUGACGGGGGCCCGCACAAGCGGUGGAGCAUGUGGUUUAAUUCGAAGCAACGCGAAGAACCUUACCAGGUCUUGACAUCUAGUGCCAUCCUAAGAGAUUAGGAGUUCCCUUCGGGGACGCUAAGACAGGUGGUGCAUGGCUGUCGUCAGCUCGUGUCGUGAGAUGUUGGGUUAAGUCCCGCAACGAGCGCAACCCUUAUUAUUAGUUGCCAGCAUUAAGUUGGGCACUCUAAUGAGACUGCCGGUGACAAACCGGAGGAAGGUGGGGAUGACGUCAAGUCAUCAUGCCCCUUAUGACCUGGGCUACACACGUGCUACAAUGGGCAGUACAACGAGAAGCGAGCCUGCGAAGGCAAGCGAAUCUCUGAAAGCUGUUCUCAGUUCGGACUGCAGUCUGCAACUCGACUGCACGAAGCUGGAAUCGCUAGUAAUCGCGGAUCAGAACGCCGCGGUGAAUACGUUCCCGGGCCUUGUACACACCGCCCGUCACACCAUGGAAGUCUGCAAUGCCCAAAGCCGGUGGCCUAACCUUCGGGAAGGAGCCGUCUAAGGCAGGGCAGAUGACUGGGGUGAAGUCGUAACAAAGUUGG